ensembl:lncRNA
CAAAAAAAAAAAAAAAAAAAAACAACAGAAUUGCAGUCAUACCAUCGCAAGCCAAUCUGAAUGCAUAGUUUUAAUUGAACAAGAGUUGGCAAUUCAAAUAGAUACCCCCCCCCAAAACUGACUGAAUUGUUAUGCAUGUGUCAAUCAAUGGGAGGUGUGCAUUCUCUAGAAGUAGAAUUAGGUUGUUUGGUUUUUUAAAACACAGCCUAUUUAGGUCCUGUCAUAUAGCGAGGAAGAUUUCAGUGUAGCGACUCUAAGGAGUGACUAUUUGGGGCUAAGGAGCACAGGACCUUACGGAUGGGAAAGGCCCAGAUGUCGAACCAAUUAUGUUUUGUUGUUGUUGAUGUGUUGUCGUUAGUUGUUGAAACCCGAGCUGUUUAUAAAGGGAAGCAGCCGGCUUGGUGUAGCCAGUGUUCUGGGCAGGUGAACCACAUUCAUUCUCGCUGUAAAUUCUACGUGCUGCUUCCAAAGGGGAUGGUUCACAAGCAGGUGUGGCCUAAGUGGUCUGUACCUUAGGAUCUGGUGUCUGGCCCAUAUCCUACAUGAAAACCUGCCCACCUGGCUCAGCUACCCACUCCUUCCCAUGGACAAAGAUAAAGCACUGUUUUAACCAGGCUCACCCCGUCUCCCCCGCCAUGGUUACCCUCCCUCCGAGGACGCUCUGAGACUCCCUUGCUUAGUACAAGGUGGCUGCUCUGCUUUCAUUUUGAGAAAGCAGAGGUUAGGGCGGGCGCCAUAUUAAUACUGCUUCAACAUCAACCAUUUUCUUACCCCUUCCUGCCGACACUCACAUUCUUUCUGCAUCCACCAGCCAAAAGUGCUUGUGUUCAUCUGACCGAUGGUGUGGUUUCUGUUUCUGUAUGCUUAGACUUGUAAUGCUUUAAAAUGCAUUUUACUAAUUUGGACUGGAUGUCUGUCUCCAGCGAUGCGAGGUACUUUCUAAGCUAUGAAGGAAGGGUUUGUAUCCUUAUGUGAGAUGAGUAACGGUUGUUUAAAUUUUGCAGAGGUUCUUGUUACUGUUACUGGUUUGGGCUUUUUUGGUUUUUGGGGGGGGUUUUGUUUGUUUGUUUGUUUGUUUGUUUUGGCUUGCAGGGAUAUUUUGUGUUCAUGUGUCUGAAAAGUGGGGAGGGGAAUAAAUGGCAUUCUUGUGCUAAAGGUUGUCUUUGUCAUCAGUUGUCUAAUAAAUAUGGAGUACACUGUAAUGACAUCAUACAUAGGUACUUUAAACAAGAUCAUCUAUUUGAGAAAUUGGACAAAAAAUAGAGAGGUGUGUUUAACUUCUGGGUCUUCUUAUAUUUAGGAGUUGCC